UACGUAGGGGGCUAGCGUUGUCCGGAUUUAUUGGCGUAAAGAGCGUGUAGGCGGCCAGGUAGGUCUGCUGUGAAAACUCGAGGCUCAACCUCGAGACGUCGGCGGAAACCAUCUGGCUAGAGUCCGGAAGAGGAGAGUGGAAUUCCUGGUGUAGCGGUGAAAUGCGCAGAGUAUCAGGAAGAACACCCGUGGCGAAGGCGGCUCUGCGG
rnacentral:rRNA from 1 species